rnacentral:rRNA from 1 species
CAAUGCGAAGCGAAGCAGUGAUGUGAAGCAAAUCGCACCAAAGCCGGUCCCAGUUCGGAUAAGAGGCUGAAACUCGCCUCUUUGAAGUCGGAAUCGCUAGUAAUCGCAGAUCAGCAUGUUGCGGUGAAUACGUUCCCGGGUCUUGUACACACCGCCCGUCAAACCAUGAGAGUCACCAACACCCGAAGUCCGCUUUGGCGGCCUAAGGUGGGGGAGAUGAUUGGGGUUAAGUCGUAACAAGGUAGC